UCCAUAUAGUAGUGAUCCUGGAGAGUUCCAUCUAAUAUAUAGGAAGAGGUCCCUCUGGAUCCCAGAGCACCAGUUUCUUACAGCACCUUAGAACUUGCUUUUGACAUGUCAUUGCAUGUAUGGCCUCCUAGAUACGUAAACCUAUGUAUACAUCAGACCACAACAGAAUCACUGAGCUUUUCUGCUCAGUUGUCCUAAACACGUAACGAUUUCCCUAAGUUAGCUUGACUCCUGCUGCUUCUAUAAAGAUAGUUUUCUUGGCUAAAGUACAAAAAUGGUUUGUCAUUGUCUGCAUCCUAGGUCUCUAGGUUGUCUUCCAUCCCAGGACAAACUAAGCUUUAACUUUUUCAAGAUCAGUCAAGAUUGGCUAUGUGCUACCAUCUACUGAGCAUGUAGCCCUUACAACUGCACAUGACCUUUUCCAUGGAAUCAGCAGUGUCUGUGCUACCAUGUUAUAUACAGUAGUUUGAUUUUUGCCUAAAGGAAAACUUAAAUAUGCCAAGAGGCAAUCACAAUUGUGUCUAUGGAUGACAAAAUAGACCCUGGUACCUGUGGCAUGUUUGUGACUCAACAGGCUACAACAAAUGUUUGAAAUAACCCUUAUGAAAACAGUCUUGGUCAACAAACUACAGCAUUAAAGAAGGAGGAGGAGGAAAAAAUGAUUUUGAGCACAUGUGCUGAAAAAGUGUAUGCAAAUAUAGUGAAUGUGAUGCAUUUAUUGCAAGUAGGAUCCCAAAUUCAAGUUUUAGAGAAGGUUUGUCAGCCUCUUGCAGAAUUCAAAUUGGGGCAGGGGAAGGGGGAAGACUGAAUCCUGUAAAGGCUCAGAUUUUUGUUUAUCAAAAAGAAAAAUAGUAUACGACUUGGUGACAGUCUGUACCAGACUUGCAUGACUUCCUGGCUACUUGGAUAGCAAUGAACUGCCUUUCUAACACCCUGCCAGUAUGAGAUUGGAAAGAAAUUUCCCAGGUCAUUUUGAUGAACACGUUUUUUAUCUUCUGUGUAGCUAAAAGCUAUAGAAAACAUUAAAGAUGAGUUAUGUCAUAGAUCUGCAACCCCUGAUCUUCAUCAGACCACUGAAAAUUGGACAAACUAUUACUUCAGUACAUUUUGUAAUAUUGUACAUGUCCAUA